rnacentral:rRNA from 1 species
ACAGGGCGAACCGGGGGAACUGAAACAUCUAAGUACCCCGAGGAAAAGAAAUCAACCGAGAUUCCGAAAGUAGCGGCGAGCGAAAUUGGACUAGCCCUUAAGCUUUACACGCGUUAGACGAACAGCCUGGAAAGGCCGACGAUACAGGGUGAUAGUCCCGUAGUUGACGACGUGUGUUCAGUGAAAUCGAGUAGGGCGGGACACGUGAUAUCCUGUCUGAAUAUGGGGGGACCAUCCUCCAAGGCUAAAUACUACUGACUGACCGAUAGUGAACCAGUACCGUGAGGGAAAGGCGAAAAGAACCCCUGUGAGGGGAGUGAAAUAGAACCUGAAACCGUGUACGUACAAGCAGUAGGAGCAGGCUUGUCCUGUGACUGCGUACCUUUUGUAUAAUGGGUCAGCGACUUAUAUUCAGUGGCAAGGUUAACCAUCUAGGGGAGCCGUAGGGAAACCGAGUCUUAACUGGGCGUUCAGUCUCUGGAUAUAGACCCGAAACCAGGUGAUCUAGCCAUGGGCAGGUUGAAGGUUGAGUAACAUCAACUGGAGGACCGAACCGACUAAUGUUGAAAAAUUAGCGGAUGACUUGUGGCUAGGGGUGAAAGGCCAAUCAAACCUGGAGAUAGCUGGUUCUCCCCGAAAGCUAUUUAGGUAGCGCCUCGGACGAAUACUACUGGGGGUAGAGCACUGUUAAGGCUAGGGGGUCAUCCCGACUUACCAACCCUUUGCAA